UUGGGGUUCCACCAUAUGAUGCUCAUGUUAAGGAUCGCUCCUGACAUGCAACUAUUGGUCAUACCACCUCCUAUCUCAAGUUACUCACCAAAGUCCGGGUUAGAACUUUAUCUCAUCACAGAGGAACCAUCGAGCACCAAAAAGAAAAAAGAAAAUAAACAAACAAAGCACACAAUAAUAUAUACAAAUACAAAACACACAGAUAAACAAAAAUAGGUUUAACACACUUAAAACUGGAUCCCCAGUGAAGUCGCCAUUUUUCUGUAGCGGGGAAAAUCUGAGAUCAAAGCCAUAAAUUGACUCGACUCAAUAUUUCAGUGAAAGUCGCCACCGCGCUUUAUUGUUUCCAAAGGAAAUGGGAAAAGAACGAAAAAACCCAAAGUUUGUUUUUAAAACAAAAAGAGAUCUUAGGAACGGGUGUUGAUUAUACAAGGGGAAGGUUUUAAGCACCCCUCAUAUCUGUGGUACUCCACAGGAACCUUUUUGAAAAUCUGUGUUUUAUAAAAGAUAUCGUGUGCAAGAGAAAUAGUUUGUUUGAUUUUUAAAAUAAGCUCGGCAAGACUAUGUCUUGUGCCUACAUACCUCCUCGGUGCAAUGGAGAAGUCAGAGCUAAUGUAGUUCCGCUUUUAAAAAACGUUUGAAAAAGGUAUAAACACAUUUACCAUCGUCGGGGCGAAUACUCAGCCAUUGAUCUUAAACAUGAGAACGAACGAGUUCUUUGCAUCACUAAUGAGAGAAGGGCGCCAACUUGGAUAAAAUCGACAAGUAUGCCACUAGCUCUCUCACGUGGAAAAGAUUUCAUCGUGUCAAUCAAUAUUAAAAUCGUGGGGCAUCGCAACUAAUGACAAUGAUUAAUUGUGCUUACUUUUUUGAAAGAAAAUGCCAACAAGGGCUAAAUAUAGUUUUUAAAGAAGAUUUUAAAAGGGAUUUCAAACAUAAGAAGUUUUUUUAGAAAAAGAGAGGAGACUUUGAAAAUUUAAGAAGUGGGAGGAGAUGAAGAGGCUAUCCUAGUGCGAGAAAAUAAAAGUUUAGGGAAAAACGAUCUGACCAAAAUAAGAAGUCGACACUUGACACAUUGAGUCAAGGAAGAAUUCCCAUCCUUUGGACUACCCACACAAAACCAAAAUUACCACUUAGGGACCAAAAUGAACUUGCAAAUCUUCGAAGAAUCACAUAAGUUUCUGACAGAAAUCGGACAGAGUAACGGUUGCAAAUGGGCGAAAUCCUUAUCUUAGUGCUUUGGAAUUAACCUUCAAAGACUUUUCGAGGAGAUACCUACACACAUCACAACAGCAAUCCAACCAGACAAAAUAACAAGCAAGAUAACAGUCAAAUAAUGAUACACAGUCCAUUGGUCCUUAAGUGUUUUUUAGGUUUCAUCUUGUUUAUUAAUGUUUUAGCAUAAAAGUAAAGUAUAGUCCAAGUGGACAAAAGAAAAAUAGCGGAGAAUAAAUAUGACGUCCAAAUGGACAAAAUAAAAAUAGCAGAAAGUAAAUAUGAUGAUAUGAUGAGUAUAAGAGCGGUAAAUAUAAAGGACAAUAUAAUAAAAAUGCGGAAAUUAAAAUUAGUCGUUAGUUGUUAAAGAUAACCAUCUUGAAACUUGUCAAGUAUGUUAUCAAAGUUAGUAAAUAAAGAUUAAUAAUGGAGGAAGGAUGAAUUCGGAUUUAAAUCAACCACAUACAACUUCCUUUUCAUUUUUAAUCUUUUAUCGAUUCGGGUCAAAGAAAGAAAAGGAAAGAUAGAUGAAGAAAAAGAGCAAAAAUAACAUAAUAAACUAAUAAUUAAAAAAACGCAAGGUGUAAAAUAAUAAGACAUAUUUUUGUGAAUUUUUUCAUAAUUUUGGACUAAAAACAAGAUUAAUAUGAAUUUUUGAAGUUAAAAACUAAUCAAAAUAAAAAUAGUAACAUAAAAUAAAGCAGAAUAAAUUCCAGCCAUCGGAUUUAGUCAAUUGACUAAUUUUAUGUAGGAUCUAAGAUCCAGAACUAAGGUGUAUAGUAAAAAUACAAACAAGUGUGUAGAGAAUCCCAUUUAGAUCAUCUUCUCAGGUGACGACAAGUGUCUCCGGUGCCACUUGUCAUUCAUCGAUGCAUCACAUAGAUCCCAAAAUAAAUGUAAUAAAAAAAUUAAAAAAAAAGAAAUGAGAUGAAGAUGAUGUCAAGAGAGAAAAUAUACAGAAUUCUUUUAUCAAUUUCUUCCACUUUUCAAUGUCAACAUCGGUACAGUAUUUUGUACUAUCAUUAAUGUACCCAAGACUAAAAUAAAGUGGAGAAAUGAUAUUGAAGAGAGAGAGAUAUCAGUAAAAACAAAACUCCAUGUUUCCAUAAACUUCUUUUUUUCAUUUUCAAUAAAACUCCAUCAUUCAUCUUUAAUAUCACACUUUCUCUUCUCUCUCAUAAAACACAAACAAACCACAUGCAUAUUAAAAAAAAAAAAAAAAAGUAAAAGAAGUCUAGUAAAAACCACACAAUAAGAUUAGAGGCGGAGAGACACCGAGAAUGGCGGACGGAACUCCUCCGGCACGGUGGCCGGAGGUGAAAAUUUUCAGAACUCGAAAAUUUUACAUCAUCCCGUUCGGUUUUCUCUCCUCAGUUCAAAUAUCAGUGCAGGUAACACGAAAGUAAAGAUGGAUUCGGUAUCAGAAGAGACUUCUCAACCUUUUGAAGCAAAGAAAUCAAGUAACAGUGGCGGUUGAGAGCUCCGGCACGGUGGCUCUGUGUUUUCCGGCGAGGGAGGUCGACUUCCGGCGGUGAUUUAUGAGCUCAGGUGAAUUUAUGAUUUGUUCUGAUUUUGUCAGUCUGAAAAGUUCUGAAAAAGAGGUCCCCUGUGUCAGUGUGAGUCAAUGCUUUUAUAAUGUAGAAAUUAUGAACAAAAUGGGCUCAGGUAUGAUUUUGAUGAACUGUAAUUUUCCUCCUUGAGCCCAAUCCGAACAUCCUUUUCUAUUUCUCAUUUUCAGCUUUGUUUUAAUGUUCUUGAGAUGUUGUUUGAACAUGUUCUUGGGCCUGGAUUUAACUUUGAAUUUGAAUUACUUGUUGGUGUGAAUGAAAAUUUACCACGGUAACUUCACUUUGUACCAUUAUUUUUCAUGAAUGCUUGUGUAUGAUUUUUGAUUGCAUCUUAAUUCUCUUCUUUGCAUAUGAUGAGCACCAUUGACAUGAAGAUGGAGGGAAAAGCCUUGGAGAGACUAUGGUGAACUCGAAGCCCAAACAUGAAGUUUGAAAGAAAAUGGUGGACUUAUGAAGUGACUUCAAUCUUGAUCACACAAAACUUUGAAUUCUUGUAGAAUAAAAUGUAGAAAUUGAAUUCUUGCAACCAUAAUGAUGUAAUCUUGGAUUGUCAUGAAUUAGAUCUUUGUAUGAGAUGAAGACUUUUGCUUUGAAUUUUGUAAUCUUUGAUGUAUCGUUGGCUUGAAACUUUAGGAAUUUAAUUCCUCUUAAAUGAAUGUACCUUUUAAGUUCAUGUAAAAACAAAUCUUGGAUCAUGAGUGCUAA